rnacentral:rRNA from 1 species
UACGAAGGGGGCUAGCGUUGCUCGGAAUUACUGGGCGUAAAGGGCGCGUAGGCGGAUAUUUAAGUCGGGGGUGAAAGCCCAGGGCUCAACCCUGGAACUGCCUUCGAUACUGGAUAUCUAGAGUAUGGGAGAGGUGUGUGGAACUCCGAGUGUAGAGGUGAAAUUCGUAGAUAUUCGGAAGAACACCAGUGGCGAAGGCGACACACUGGCCCAUUACUGACGCUGAGGCUCGAAAGCGUGGGGAGCAAACAGG